rnacentral:lncRNA from 12 species
CAGGGCUUUGAGCUCUUUCAAGGAUUUCACACAUACUUUCUCAUUUUAUCCAGAAUAUAAUGAGGGUGAUGAUGAAGACGGUCUGGAAGCACAUUUUCAAGGAACACGAACGUGUUGAAGUUUUCAAUCUUACCCAAAAUGAAGAACUGCAUUUUUCCUCGGGGGUGAGAUUGCAUUUAUGUUGUUCUUCCUGAAUUUCAUUAGCUUCUCACUCCCAACUUGAAAGAAGACUGUGAACGGCAGUGAAGGCAUCGAGAAUGUGGCAGCAAAUGCUAAAUUUAAAAAAGAAAAAAAUGGAAGUCUUCCCUGUGAAUUUAAGGAAAAUAAUGGUCUUGGCACUCUAAUCAUUGGGUUUGAUAUUGAAACAGCCCGCAGAUUGUCAAAACGAGGGAAAUUGCAUGAAUCUGAAACUCGAGGCCAGAACUGCUUAAAAAGAUAGAUUCAAGGAUGUGGCCAGGUUGCUGAGAUGGAAUAUACAAAUUUAGCAGGAGUAACUUCAUCUUUUUUGUUCCCGCUGUUUUUCAAUAACGAAACCUCCAAAACAGUAAAAGACUAUCCAGGCUUGAAACAGAUGGGAAAAGCAGAUGCACCUUGAGUCUUCAGACCGAGCUCCCAAAUACUCUAGGAGACAGGCAGAGAAGGAUAUUUUCCUGGAGGCCCUGUGGGUUUGUCCAGCUCUAACCGGUAGAGAUCCGGCUGGUCUGACAAUGGUUUUUAUUUUGCUGCGUUAGAGGAAUUUUUGUAAAUGGCUCGAAGUGGUCUUUGGAUCAAGGUAAGAUAAAAUUCAGAUAUAUACAUAAAGUUUAUGUUGUGUGAAACUUGUGGGAUAUAAAUUUAAGCGUAUUGGUGAUAGUCAAAGAGUUUUUCUUAUCACUAAUGACCGUUGGAAAUCAAGGUAAUUACAAAUUAUAGUAGAAUAGCUAACCUAAGGAGUUUAAUUGUUAUAACAGCACAGUUGUUUCCUUUGCUAAUUGCCAUUUAUUGGCACAUAAUACUCAUACAUUCAAAAGAGUAUUACUCCAUGCUUAGUAGGAAUCUUGUCAAUCAUUUUGCCUCUUGUAUCUAAAUUUUAGAGUCACAAACUUAAACAACCUUAAAUUUAAAC